rnacentral:rRNA from 1 species
CUUUUAUUUCUCGUCAGUGACCUUCUUCUUAGUCGCGAAUCGGGUGAGACCUCGAAAGGAUUUCGGCCCCGGCUAGUCCACUCCAGUAGUGAUGAGUCCUAAAGGGUUAGAUUGGUUUCCGCCCUUUCAGUGAUGAAGUUAACCCAUUAAGCCCCCCGCCUGGGGGAGUACGGCCGCAAGGCUGAAACUUAAAGGAAUUGACGGGGGCCCGCACAAGCGGGGGAGCAUGUGGUUUAAUUCGAAGCAACGCGAAGAACCUUACCAGGUCUUGACAUUAUUUGACAACCCUAGAGAUAGGGCUUCUCCUUUGGGAGCAGAGUGACAGGUGGUGCAUGGUUGUCGUCAGCUCGUGUCGUGAGAUGUUGGGUUAAGUCCCGCAACGAGCGCAACCCUUGAUCUUAGUUGCCAUCAUUUAGUUGGGCACUCUAAGGUGACUGCCGGUGACAAACCGGAGGAAGGUGGGGAUGACGUCAAAUCAUCAUGCCCCUUAUGACCUGGGCUACACACGUGCUACAAUGGACGGUACAAAGAGCUGCAAGACCGCGAGGUGGAGCUAAUCUCAUAAAACCGUUCUCAGUUCGGAUUGUAGGCUGCAACUCGCCUACAUGAAGCUGGAAUCGCUAGUAAUCGCGGAUCAGCAUGCCGCGGUGAAUACGUUCCCGGGCCUUGUACACACCGCCCGUCCCACCACGAGAGUUUGUAACACCCGAAGUCGGUGGGGUAACCUUUUGGAGCCAGCCGCCUAAGUGACA